UUCCAGACUCCUACGGGAGGCAGCAGUGGGGAAUAUUGCACAAUGGGGGGAACCCUGAUGCAGCGACGCCGCGUGGGUGAAGGAGUACUUCGGUACGUAAAGCCCUAUCAGCAGGAAAGAAAAUGACGGUACCUGACUAAGAAGCCCCGGCUAACUACGUGCCAGCAGCCGCGGUAAUACGUAUGGUGCAAGCGUUAUCCGGAAUGACUGGGUGUAAAGGGAGCGUAGACGGUUGUACAAGUCUGAUGUGAAAGCCCACGGCUCAACUGUGGGAGUGCAUUGGAAACUGUAGAACUAGAGUAUCGGAGAGGCAAGUGGAAUUCCUAGUGUAGCGGUGAAAUGCGUAGAUAUUAGGAGGAACACCGGUGGCGAAGGCGGCCUGCUGGACUGUGACUGACGUUGAGGCUCGAAAGCGUGGGGAGCAAACAGGAUUAGAUACCCCGGUA
rnacentral:rRNA from 1 species